rnacentral:rRNA from 1 species
AUCUACGGCCAUACCACCCUGAACAUGCCCAAUCUUGUCUGGUCUCAGAAGCUAAGCAGGGUUGGGCAUGGUUAGUACUUGGAUGGGAGAAAAUAAAUACCUAGCACAAAUUGUACCACUUUUGACA